rnacentral:lncRNA from 1 species
AGGGAAUGUUUACUUUGCCUCCACUUCUGUUCCUCCCCGCCCUGGUGCUGCUCCGGGUCACAUACUCGUCCUGAGCCGGCUUCAGCCUCUCCGCGCAGAAGUCUCCCGGAGCCGACUUCUGAGAGUCGAGUACUCCUAUGUGAAGACUACCAAGCUCGUGUUCAAGGGAACCAAGGCGAAGAGGCGAGAUGGAAAGAAAGUAUCAAGGAGUGAGCUGAAGCCACUGCCCUUGAGAACCCUCUCGAGGAGUCUGGGCUCAUGAGGAUGCCAGAAUAAGUGGCAGUAAGAAGAAAAAGAACAAAGAUAAGAAAAGAAAAAGAGAAGAAGAUGAAGAAACCCAGCUUGAUAUAAUCACCCUGAAAUCUGGCUAUGGAAAAUAUCUUGGUAUAAAUUCAGAUGAACUUGUUGUUGGGCGUUCAGAUGCAAUUGGACCAAGAGAACAAUGGGAACCAGUCUUUAAAAUUGGGAAAAUGGCUUUGUCGACCUCAAAUAGCUGCUUUAUUAGAUACAGUGAAGCAGAGGACAUAGAAGCAAAAAGUAAAACAGCAGGAGAAGAAGAAAUGAUCAAGGCUCUCCUAAUCUCUGUCAGACCUUCACCUUUAUGACCUUGCCUUAUCUACCAGAACACAGAUCCCUCUUACUAAAGAUUAGAUCCUGUGCUGAAAGAGAAACCAAGAAAAAAGAUGACAUUCCAGAAGAAGACAAAGGAAAUAUAAAACAAUGUGAAAUCAA